rnacentral:rRNA from 1 species
AUUGAACGCUGGCGGCAGGCCUAACACAUGCAAGUCGAGCGGUUGACGGGAGCUUGCUCCCUGAUUCAGCGGCGGACGGGUGAGUAAUGCCUAGGAAUCUGCCUAUUAGUGGGGGACAACGUUUCGAAAGGAACGUUAAUACCGCAUACGCCCUACGGGGGAAAGCAGGGGAUCUUCGGACCUUGCGCUAAUAGAUGAGACUAAGUCGGAUUAGCUAGAUGGUGGGGUAAAGGCCCACCAAGGCGACGAUCCGUAAAUGGUCUGAGAGGAUGAUCAGUCACACUGGAACUGAGACAGGGUCCAGACUCCUACGGGAGGCAGCAGUGGGGAAUAUUGGGCAAUGGGCGAAAGCCUGAUCCAGGCAUGCCGCGUGUGUGAAGAAGGUCUUCGGAUUGUAAAGCACUUUAAGUUGGGAGGAAGGGCAUUAACCUAAUACGUUAGUGUUUUGACGUUACCAACAGAAUAAGCACCGGCUAACUUCGUGCCAGCCGCCGCGGUAA